GUGGAUGUUCUCAUCAUCGUUGAUGAUGUAUGGCUGUUUCCGGUGUCUCCUCAUGGACAGAAUAAGCAGCACCAACACUGCCAGGAAUAGAGAGGACAGGACGUUUACCCGCGAGGCUUGUCACUAGAAACUCUUGAUUGACUGGGAGUACAGGAAGAAGUCACUAAGUGAGAUUGGUGCUAUAGUCAAGAAAAUAGAAGACUCUCUUCUUGAGUUGUAUGAUCCCUCCCUUCUGGACCCAUGGCAGAUAUUUUUUAUAGUUGAACACCAUAUGAUUUGCUUUCAAG